rnacentral:rRNA from 1 species
CGGACGGGUGAGUAAUGUAUGGGGAUCUGCCUGAUGGCGGGGGAUAACUACUGGAAACGGUAGCUAAUACCGCAUAAUGUCUACGGACCAAAGCGGGGGACUUUCGGGCCUCUUGCCAUCGGAUGUGCCCAGAUGGGAUUAGCUAGUAGGUGGGGUAACGGCUCACCUAGGCGACGAUCCCUAGCUGGUCUGAGAGGAUGACCAGCCACACUGGAACUGAGACACGGUCCAG